rnacentral:tRNA from 4 species
GGCUACGUAGCUCAGUUGGUUAGAGCACAUCACUCAUAAUGAUGGGUCACAGGUUCGAAUCCCGUCGUAGCCACCA